rnacentral:piRNA from 1 species
UGCUCUAGCCACUCCAGACUACAGAACAGA